AGCGAACGCUGGCGGCAGGCUUAACACAUGCAAGUCGAGCGGGCGUAGCAAUACGUCAGCGGCAGACGGGUGAGUAACGCGUGGGAACAUACCUUUUGGUUCGGAACAACACAGGGAAACUUGUGCUAAUACCGGAUAAGCCCUUACGGGGAAAGAUUUAUCGCCGAAAGAUUGGCCCGCGUCUGAUUAGCUAGUUGGUGAGGUAACGGCUCACCAAGGCGACGAUCAGUAGCUGGCUGAGAGGAUGAUCAGCCACAUUGGGACUGAGACACGGCCCAAACUCCUACGGGAGGCAGCAGUGGGGAAUAUUGGACAAUGGGCGCAAGCCUGAUCCAGCCAUGCCGCGUGAGUGAUGAAGGCCCUAGGGUUGUAAAGCUCUUUUGUGCGGGAAGAUAAUGACGGUACCGCAAGAAUAAGCCCCGGCUAACUUCGUGCCAGCCGCCGCCGU
rnacentral:rRNA from 1 species